rnacentral:tRNA from 1 species
AUCAUCUUGGUGUAAAGCACAGGAGUUUUUGAUACUCCAGGAGGGUCUGAACCCAGACGAUU